rnacentral:rRNA from 1 species
GUAGGUGGCAAGCGUUGUCCGGAAUUAUUGGGCGUAAAGCGCGCGCAGGCGGUUCUUUAAGUCUGAUGUGAAAGCCCACGGCUCAACCGUGGAGGGGUCAUUGGAAACUGGAGAACUUGAGUACAGAAGAGGAAAGCGGAAUUCCACGUGUAGCGGUGAAAUGCGUAGAGAUGUGGAGGAACACCAGUGGCGAAGGCGGCUUUCUGGUCUGUAACUGACGCUGAGGCGCGAAAGCGUGGGGAGCAAACAGGAUUAGAUACCCUGGUAGUCCACGCCGUAAACGAUGAGUGCUAAGUGUUAGGGGGGUUUCCGCCCCUUAGUGCUGCAGCUAACGCAUUAAGCACUCCGCCUGGGGAGUACGGCCGCAAAGGCUG